rnacentral:misc_RNA from 1 species
CUUGGUCUGAAGGGGGACUUGGGUAAAAUCCCUUUUCCUUUUUGUUUUUCUUCUAGAUUAAUAUCACUUCUAUGGAACUAAAACACAGUGAAGUAAGAAACCAUAAUCUCUUGUUUUCAGUUGUACCAUAUAGUCUCUUCUGUUUUCUGUAUUACCAUGAGUACUUUUAUCAAACUUAAAAGAGACAGAAAUGCACUGCACACAUUCAUUUACGCUGACACGCUAAGCUACUAACACGCUGUUCUCUUUGUAGUUAUUCUUUCCAAACUCCUGAAUGUUGGAACACU